rnacentral:rRNA from 1 species
UGGCUCAUUAAAACAGUUAUAGUUUAUUUGAUGGUCUUUACUACAUGGAUAACCGUGGUAAUUCUAUGGCUAAUACAUGCGCACAUGCCUCUUCCCCUGGAAGGCAGUGUUUAUUAGAUACAGAACCAACCCACCUUCCGGUGGUCCUCAGGUGAUUCAUAGUAACCGAACGGAUCGCGUUGACUUCGGUCUGCGACGGAUCAUUCAAGUUUCUGACCUAUCAGCUUUCGACGGUACUGUAUUGGACUACCGUGGCA